GUUGUCGGUGUGGGGGUAGAUGGUGUGGGAGGUACUGGUGUUGUAGUAGAUGGUGUGGGAGGUACUGGUGUUGUAGUAGACGUUGUGGUAGAUGAUGGUGUGGGAGGUACUGGUGUUGUAGUAGAUGGUGUGGGAGGUACUGGUGUUGUAGUAGACGUUGUGGUUGUCGGUG